rfam:Aliiroseovarius crassostreae strain CV919-312 Joined_contig_1_-_Split_b_-_Split_b_-_Split_b, whole genome shotgun sequence.
GGGCCGUUAGCUCAGUUGGUAGAGCAACUGACUUUUAAUCAGUGGGUCGAAGGUUCGAAUCCUUCACGGCUCA